CCCUCACCCGGAGAAGGCUGGAAAUCACGUCUCUAACUUGGAAAGCAGUUACCCAGAGGUACUGUGGAUCCUGGAGAAGAGUAACAAGUGCCCAAGCCACUUGAUCGAAGAUCAAAAGUUCACGGACGGCCACGGUCACUGCAAAACUUCACAGAUGGGCGACCAUUGAGAAUGUUUGCUAACACGUGAGUCUCAGUUUAUUAAGCCCUAUGCUGAGGCAUUCUCUGUGGAGGGAAAAACCCAUUAAAAAGUUUAUGCACCUAAAAAAAAAAUAUGCGUCAACGAAAGCUGAAUUAUGGCUGCUGGAUGAAUCUCCCACAUAAGGAACGCUUGGAACAGAAUUACGGAUUAUAUCAUCUGUGAUUUGUCUGGGCCCAAAUAGGCUGAAACACACAAUAAUCUUGAGCUGGAACAACCUCUGUAUCCUCCAGGCUCUCUCCCGCCUCCAAGACAGGGACUUCGGACAGGGUGCCCUCAACACUUACGAAGGACAACAGAAGCAGACAGCUGGUUGAUUCUGUGAUGCUGGAAGUACGAGAGCUGUCCCCAGACAGCGGGCUCCUUGUUUUAAACUCAAUUCAGCCAACAUUUUGGAGCACUUUCUAUAUGCCCGACACUCUGUCCGGGGCAGUGGGGGAUUCAAACAUGAGCGGGACACAACACACACCGAGUCUUUAAGGCCCCUGGGAGAAGCCCAUCUGCUGUCAGAGCUCUGAAGAGAACGUCUUCCCUCUGGUGAAGGUGUGGGGAGCUCUUCACAGACAGGGGCGUGCAGGAUGCGGGUACUCUUCCCAUGCACGGCGAAAGCCUGAGGGCCAGUGUCCUUCCCGGGUCCUGGUGGAGAGACUCGCCUUGCCCCUCAUUUCUGGCCAGGAGCCCGCUUCCAAAGUAGGCAGCUGGCGUGUGCAGGCUCCUUCCCUACACUGGGAGAACACUUGGGGCACCCGCCACAGACUGGGCAUGUGUGGAGAGCGGGUGUUCUCCAGAGUGUAGGAGGGGGGUCCCGGUCCACCCAGCUUUGCAGCUGCCUCCCAGCUUCUGGCCGGAGCCCCUUGCCUCAGUCCUGGGUUCCUCUGGGGCUGGGAUGAAGAGAGAUGCAAGGGCAGCGGUGCUGUGGGUUCACCCCAGUUACCCAUCACUGGCCUUCUCUGGAGGAGUGCAUUUGUCCUUUGACAGAGCCCCCAACACAGACAUGGGGUCCCCAGCACAGCAGCAUUCCCCAGUGUGGGUGACGCCCCCUCUAGCCAGUCUCUCAUCUCCUCCCCUUACCUCUGCUCUGGCUGCACACCCCUGCACCCCGGAGCUGUCUCCCUUCUCACUGAGCAUUCACUCAGCUCAUGGGAAAAUCUCGUGCCACCCUCCCACACCAAGAGGCACAAGCACCGUUGGACCAUGCUGGCUGGUUCCCCUGGUCCUGCCAGGAGAACCUCUCAGGCAGGGGCUGCCUUCAAUCUUCUUCACGGGAGAACUCAGUCUUCCAGUCACAUGUCCCUCACGCUUUGCUGCAGCAGUGGCACCAGGAAGGUCUCUGGGGUGCCACCCCUUAGCCAGACAACUCAAUGAAGAGCUCUCUGCCACCCUUUACUGAGCUUGGGAUCAGAAUGUGGGGCUGGGGGAAGGAACCCCCCACACUCCCAAAGGGAAGGAGGAAAAAUGCUCUAUCUAGACUCUCUCCCAGGGGAAAAGAUGCCAGCAGAGGCAGUGAGUUAAGUGACUGAAGAUCUCAGGGGAGGAACGGUCAGCUGGGAUUUCCUUCUGGAAUGCUAGGUUGAAUUUGUUCUGGAACGGUAACAAGACAGUCUCUGCUUUCAAAAGAAGUAGCCUUUGAUGUAUUGUUUGGCGGCAGCUCCACAAGGCUAAGAUCAGAUGUACCCACAACUUCCCCUGGUCCACAAACAGGACACGAGGAGAUGAAACACUUGGCCGAGCUGAGCUCAGGGCAAGGUCUGGUUAUUAGGCGAGAAAACGUCUGGCCUCAAAGACGCCGAGUUCCUCAUAACGCUGCAAGGUUUCUUUGAUGUGAGACGGGAACUUUUUAUUUGGUGGAGCGUCAGGGUACAGUGCCGGGAGCAGGGGGACCCUGGGUUUCCACUGGAUGCUGCCAUACGUGGGGAGGCCAGCAGAAGCCCCGAGGGGUGUGUGUAGCAGGGGAGGAGGCUCCGGGCUCCGUGUGAGGGAGAACUUCCUAAUUACCAGCAUCUUCUCCCAGCACAAAGUGGAGAGCUCCCCAUCACCAGAAGUGUUCAAGCAGAGUCUACACAACUGCAUGGCACUGGACUCGAUGCUUCUUGCCCGCCCUACUAGAUUGGAAGCUCCUUGAAGCACAGGUCUUUAGACCUCAGGCCUGCUGGUGGUUUGGAAGCUGAUUGUUAUCCAGCCUGAUCAUCUGGGCCUAAUGAGCUGGAUCAUCAUUUCUUCAUCAGGGAAGUCUGAUUCUCCUGUGGUUUUGUUCCCACCCCUGUGAGGUCAGCAGGGAGCUAACCCUUUAUCUCAGGAAGGCAACAGGAGCCGGAGAGGAGCCGGGUGACAGGCUCAGAGUGGCGUUUAUUCAGGGAGCAAGGGUUUGAAUUCACACACACUGCUACGUUUCUUGAGCCCCUGGGAAAGGCUCUCCUGGCAGCACCUGCACAGCUGCACAGCCCGGCACCCUGGGGAGUGGAAGGUGCCCAGCGAUCCCCACGUGCAAUCAGUGGGCCCGCCAAGGCUGCCACAGCGCCUGUCACUCCAGUAUCGCAUAUCUCGAGGCCUUGGACUUGGGGGGGAGGGAGAGGGGCAAUUUUUCACUUCUUCUGCAAUGUAUUUCUACAGUAUAACAAUUGCUUAUAAAAAC
rnacentral:lncRNA from 1 species